UCUCUUAUAGCUCAGUCAGUAAAGAAUCUGCCUUUAAUGCAGGAGACUCAGGUUCGAUUCCUGGGUUGGGAA
rnacentral:tRNA from 1 species